CCGGCGCACGGGUGAGUAACACGUAUCCAACCUGCCGUCUACUCUUGGACAGCCUUCUGAAAGGAAGAUUAAUACAAGAUGGCAUCAUGAGUCCGCAUGUUCACAUGAUUAAAGGUAUUCCGGUAGACGAUGGGGAUGCGUUCCAUUAGAUAGUAGCGGGGUAACGGCCCACCUAGUCUUCGAUGGAUAGGGGUUCUGAGAGGAAGGUCCCCCACAUUGGAACUGAGACACGGUCCAAACUCCUACGGGAGGCAGCAUG
rnacentral:rRNA from 1 species